rfam:Gossypium hirsutum cultivar TM-1 unplaced genomic scaffold scaffold729.1, whole genome shotgun sequence
AACCCAUGGUGAGGGCAUCUUCUCAAUAAGUCUUUAUAUCUCUCUCAUGCAUCAUAAAGUGUUUCUAAAUUCAUCUGCACAAAAGAAGAGAUAUCAUUCUUCAAUUU